AAAUUGAAGAGUUUGAUCAUGGCUCAGAUUGAACGCUGGCGGCAGGCCUAACACAUGCAAGUCGAACGGUAACAGGAAGCAGCUUGCUGCUUUGCUGACGAGUGGCGGACGGGUGAGUAAUGUCUGGGAAACUGCCUGAUGGAGGGGGAUAACUACUGGAAACGGUGGCUAAUACCGCAUAACGUCGCAAGACCAAAGAGGGGGACCUUCGGGCCUCUUGCCAUCAGAUGUGCCCAGAUGGGAUUAGCUUGUUGGUGAGGUAACGGCUCACCAAGGCGACGAUCCCUAGCUGGUCUGAGAGGAUGACCAGCCACACUGGAACUGAGACACGGUCCAAGACUCCUACGGGAGGCAGCAGUGGGGAAUAUUGCACAAUGGGCGCAAGCCUGAUGCAGCCAUGCCGCGUGUAUGAAGAAGGCCUUCGGGUUGUAAAGUACUUUCAGCGGGGAGGAAGGUGUUGUGGUUAAUAACCGCAGCAAUUGACGUUACCCGCAGAAGAAGCACCGGCUAACUCCGUGCCAGCAGCCGCGGUAAUACGGAGGGUGCAAGCGUUAAUCGGAAUUACUGGGCGUAAAGCGCACGCAGGCGGUCUGUCAAGUCGGAUGUGAAAUCCCCGGGCUCAACCUGGGAACUGCAUUCGAAACUGGCAGGCUUGAGUCUUGUAGAGGGGGGUAGAAUUCCAGGUGUAGCGGUGAAAUGCGUAGAGAUCUGGAGGAAUACCGGUGGCGAAGGCGGCCCCCUGGACAAAGACUGACGCUCAGGUGCGAAAGCGUGGGGAGCAAACAGGAUUAGAUACCCUGGUAGUCCACGCCGUAAACGAUGUCUACUUGGAGGUUGUGCCCUUGAGGCGUGGCUUCCGGAGCUAACGCGUUAAGUAGACCGCCUGGGGAGUACGGCCGCAAGGUUAAAACUCAAAUGAAUUGACGGGGGCCCGCACAAGCGGUGGAGCAUGUGGUUUAAUUCGAUGCAACGCGAAGAACCUUACCUGGUCUUGACAUCCACAGAAGAAUCCAGAGAUGGAUUUGUGCCUUCGGGAACUGUGAGACAGGUGCUGCAUGGCUGUCGUCAGCUCGUGUUGUGAAAUGUUGGGUUAAGUCCCGCAACGAGCGCAACCCUUAUCCUUUGUUGCCAGCGGUCCGGCCGGGAACUCAAAGGAGACUGCCAGUGAUAAACUGGAGGAAGGUGGGGAUGACGUCAAGUCAUCAUGGCCCUUACGACCAGGGCUACACACGUGCUACAAUGGCGCAUACAAAGAGAAGCGACCUCGCGAGAGCAAGCGGACCUCAUAAAGUGCGUCGUAGUCCGGAUUGGAGUCUGCAACUCGACUCCAUGAAGUCGGAAUCGCUAGUAAUCGUGGAUCAGAAUGCCACGGUGAAUACGUUCCCGGGCCUUGUACACACCGCCCGUCACACCAUGGGAGUGGGUUGCAAAAGAAGUAGGUAGCUUAACCUUCGGGAGGGCGCUUACCACUUUGUGAUUCAUGACUGGGGUGAAGUCGUAACAAGGUAACCGUAGGGGAACCUGCGGUUGGAUCACCUCCUUA
rnacentral:rRNA from 1 species